rnacentral:rRNA from 1 species
AGAGUUUGAUCAUGGCUCAGGAUGAACGCUAGCGACAGGCCUAACACAUGCAAGUCGAGGGGCAGCACGGAAGUAGCAAUACGACUGGUGGCGACCGGCGCACGGGUGAGUAACACGUAUGCAACCUGCCUGUAAGAGGGGAAUAACCCGGAGAAAUCCGGACUAAUACCGCAUAAUACUGUGAAACUGCAUGGUUUUACAGUUAAACAUUUAUGGCUUACAGAUGGGCAUGCGUAUGAUUAGCUGGUUGGUGAGGUAACGGCUCACCAAGGCAACGAUCAUUAGGGGUUCUGAGAGGAAGGUCCCCCACACUGGUACUGAGACACGGACCAGACUCCUACGGGAGGCAGCAGUGAGGAAUAUUGGUCAAUGGGCGAGAGCCUGAACCAGCCAAGUCGCGUGAAGGAAGAAGGUUCUAUGGAUUGUAAACUUCUUUUGUAAGGGAAUAAAAAAGAGUACGUGUACUCUAUUGUAUGUACUUUACGAAUAAGGAUCGGCUAACUCCGUGCCAGCAGCCGCGGUAAUACGGAGGAUCCGAGCGUUAUCCGGAUUUAUUGGGUUUAAAGGGUGCGUAGGCGGACAUAUAAGUCAGCGGUGAAAGUUUGCAGCUUAACUGUAAAAUUGCCGUUGAAACUGUUAGUCUUGAGUGUAAAUGAGGUAGGCGGAAUGUGUUGUGUAGCGGUGAAAUGCUUAGAUAUAACACAGAACACCAAUUGCGAAGGCAGCUUACUGGGAUACAACUGACGCUGAGGCACGAAAGCGUGGGGAUCAAACAGGAUUAGAUACCCUGGUAGUCCACGCAGUAAACGAUGAAUACUAACUGUAUGCGAUAUACUGUAUGCGGUACAGCGA